GAAACGUGCAGGGCUUCCUUUAAGUACACAGGGGGCCUAGAGGGCAGGCUGCCAGGGAAUAUAUAGGGCUAGACAGCCUGCUUACUUGUAACACAAGGUCCCUUUACAGAAUUAUCCACGCUCCGCUGGAGCCGCCUGUCCCCGCCCCUUCCGUCCCUCCGACAACACACAGCAUCCAUCCUCAUGGGCUCACACGCUGCGUGAUCCACAUCACAACCGACAGAGCGGUGGCUUGGCCGAACCUCAUGGAGUAGCAGGACUACUAGUAAGAGGAAGCGGGCUGCUCUCGGCUACCUUUUGUUUCUUUCCCCCCCUUUCUUCUUUUAUGGAGUCGCCUUUUUGUCCGGAAUAUCGCUGCAUCCCAUAGCGAGUGAGCUCCUUUGAAUUUUAAGAGCACAUAGUCUCCUUGGAGACAAGAUGGCAUCCCACAACACUUUACGCAGCUACUCAAUCAUCCCCUGUUUCAUCUUUGUAGAGCUCGUCAUCAUGUCUGGCACCGUGCUCCUGGCCUACUACAUGGAGUGCACGGACCUCUUCAGUGUACACGUGCAGGGCUUCUUCUGUAACGAUGCCGAGCUGAUGAAGCCGUACCCCGGCACCGAGGAGUCCAGUUUCGUCCCUCCCCUCAUCCUCUACUGCGUGGUCGCUGCUGCUCCCACUGUUAUAAUCUUCAUCGGGGAAGUGUCCAUGUACGUGAUGAAAUCAACAAGGGAAGCUCUCCUUGCCCAGGAGAAAACAAUAGUGACAGGAGACUGUUGUUACCUCAACCCGCUCAUUCGCCGCAUCAUACGCUUUAUAGGUGUGUUUGCAUUCGGCCUGUUUGCCACAGACAUCUUCGUCAAUGCAGGCCAGGUAGUGACCGGAGGCCUUUCGCCCUACUUCCUGUCUGUUUGCAAACCCAAUUACACCGGCACAGAGUGUCGGUUCAAUCACCAGUUUAUUGUCAACGGAAACAUUUGCACUGGGAAUCCCAUUGUUGUGGAGAAUGCACGCCGGUCGUUCCCAUCCAAGGAUGCUUCACUGAGUGUUUACUCUGCUGUGUACCUGACAAUGUACAUCACCAGCACAAUCAAAACCAAGUCCAGCCGUCUGGCCAAACCUGUGCUCUGUCUGGGCACACUCUGUUCCGCUUUCCUCACCGGCCUCAAUCGAGUGUCUGAGUAUCGAAACCACUGCUCUGAUGUCGUGGCUGGAUUUAUACUGGGAUCAGCCAUCGCACUGUUUCUGGGCAUCUGUGUUGUGAACAACUUUAAAGGAGUUCAUAAUCCAGCAACUAAACAGAAGACGGAGGAAUACCGUGGAUUGCCAUUGAUGACUUUUCCUCGUGUAGAGAGCCCACUGGAGACCCUCAGCGCGCAGCUAUGACAUUAUGCUAGGCAUGAUAUUUGCACAGCACUCCUUUCCAUCAAAGCACACCACGCACCAGAACCACUCGGCAUCGAUGACGGAGGUCACAUGACUAAGGGGGCAGCACCGGGUCACGUUUGCGUCUCCACAGCACUUCCAGGCACAAUGACGAGGACGCAUGCCACGUGGCGCCGAAUGCAUACAUCAACAACAACAAAAAAGAAAUCACUCCAGAUUUAUCUGUUUGAAUCACCCGGAGGACAGGAUACUCCAUGUUUGUAGUGGUUUUCAUUUCGCUUGGCUUCUCGCUAUUCGGCAAGCCAACACCCACAAAUCUAACCAGUGCGAACUCGUCAAAAAGCCAACUCACUGUAAGCACGGGUUGUUUUUCUCCAGGUAUCUGAAAGCCUUUGAAACAUGGCACAUUUCUUUUGUCCUCCAGGGUGGCUCGCUGUAGUUAGCGAAUGGUGUUUUGUACGUUUUUGUAUGAGCGAGUGCCGUAGCCUACCCUGACAAUGUCAAACCUGCACACUUCCUGUCAGCUGACUCACUGUGUUACAUCACACCCUGUCAGAUGAAAUGCCUCAUCAGUCACCACAUCCAUUCCACUCAGUCUUAAAACUCUGCUAUGGGAAAAAAAUAUUGAUGUUGUUGUUAUGUGGUGUUUGUCAUUUGUACAGAAAAAAGAGACAGAAAUGUUCUUUUUAUUAUCUCUGUGCAUUAAUUGACCAUUAUAAGGUCAUAUUUUCUAAGGAUUUUUGUUAGUCUGUAUGACUAUUAUGAUCCAUUUGGACCUGUUUGCCUGCUGUAAACCUGAAUAUGUUUUAGUAUCAGUUUAGGUGUUUGGGGGAACAAGUCUUGUCAUUUUUGGAGGAAACAUGAGGAGGGUCACUGGCAUCCUCUGGGACUAAAUGCGGGGUCUGGCACCAAUUGAGAUCAGAUGCAAUAUUUGAAAAUGUCAUUACUCAGAAAGCUUAUUAGGUGUGUCAUUCACCCCAAUUUCCUGAUUCACCCUGAUGUUUAAAACAAUGCCUUGAAAGCAGUCCAUUGGGUCUUGCAUGUGUCAGAUCCAUGUAAAGAUUCCCCUUGUGUGCUUGUUAGAAAUACGUCUUUACUGAAAUUUUAAUGGAAGACCUUUCUAACAGAUAGAUGAGGUAAUAAAACUAGACAGUUUUGAGUAAAAUGAGGCGAUUGGUGUUUUUCAUGCAAACUCUGCCAUUGACGCCUGUUUCACUUUUCCUCCUUGAGGCACCCCUUCCUCUCCCUCACCCACCAGUGGAUUGUGAUGCAAUGUUGUGAAUCCAUUUCCUAUUGGAAGAUAAGCCCAGCAUGAAGAGAGAAGUCGAUAAUGUUUUAUAGAUAUUACUCAUUAUCAUUGUGAUUAUAUGUCUUUUUCUUUAAGAACAAAAAAAGCCUUUCAUCUGAAAUGCUAUAUAUAUAUUUUUUUUCUUUGUUUGUCCAAAAAUUAAAUAGUCAGUAGCAACUGUGCGCUCUCUUGU